GCUGGAAGAAUUCUAGGCAGAGGAUGAGAGAAAGACUUGAAGCAGUCUGGCUGCCACUUUCCACCCCCACACACAGUGGCAGGGGAGGAGGCGACCCUGAGUUGAGACUGAGCAGUGGAGAGACGGGGAGGGGCUUGGAGGAGGUUUGGGCGAGGGCAGCCGAAAACCAAAAGAGGAAUGUGGGGGGAGGAAUGCUUCCCGUGGCAUGUGGAAGUCGAGCUGAAGCUGCAGCUGAAACAGAGAGAAGCCAAACCAAGCAGACUUUUUCUGAGUGAAGCAUGUCAGGAGACAAGAGCCUGAACUACAAAUGUGCUGUGAAUAUUGCAGCCUCCACUGAGCCUGCAGGUGAUUGCUGUGGGAAUUACUAUGAUGAAAAUAAUUUAGGGUGAAAGGCAGAUGAAUUCUUAAGAACUAUUGGGAACUUGAGGCUCCCACACACGUAAAAGUCAGAAGUGGACCCACACCAGGUGAAGAUGUGCUGUGGUGGUGAUUACAGCUCUUGGUGCUCUUCUGUCU